UUAAUCGAUUAACCUGCUUCCAAUAGCCAAAAAAAUCAUUUUGUGUGAUGUUAAUCGGUUAACAUAUAUUGGUUAACUGAUUAACCUAGGACAGUGAGCCAAAGUGCUGCAUUUUUCAACAGUGAUGCAGUCUCCUCUGCACUCCAAACCAGUGUCAAUGCUUGCAUCAAUACACAUUGCUACCUCUACAUAUUUAUGCAGCAACUAAUCGUAUCAUUCAUGCAUUGGAC
rnacentral:lncRNA from 1 species